GGUGGUUGUAGCUCAGCUGGUUAGAGCGUCGGAUUGUGGUUCCGAAGGUCGCCGGUUCGAGCCCGGUCUUCCACCC
rnacentral:tRNA from 1 species